UGGUCUUCGUCUCUACUAAGAGAAAAACCUGGAGUGAGAGCAGAAUGGACUGUCUGGAGAGAGGAGCAGACCUGGUGAUCAUAAACAGCAGAGAGGAACAGACAUAUCUCUUUAGCCUCAAAAAGGGAGUCUGGAUCGGUCUGACUGACAGUGAGACUGAGGGGUUCUGGAAAUGGGUAGACGGCACACCACUGAACACACGGUACUGGGGGAGCAACCAGCCUAGUAUUGGUGGUGGUCAUUCAACCAAUCAGGAGAAGGACUGUGUUGAACUAAGAGAUGGACAAGUUCAGCCUAAAAAGACAUGGAUUGAUUCAAAUUGUGAUAAUAAACUGAACUGGAUUUGUGAGAAGUGUAAUAAAUAACCUACUGUAACAACUACCCUCUCUCUCUCUCUGACUCUCUAUGACUCUCUCUUCAUCUCUCUGACUCUCCCUCUCUCAUUCUGUCUCCAUCCCUGCUCAUUUAUGUUUGUUUCAUUCUGAACAUAUGAGUCAAAUUCCCAUUUACUUCCUGGGAUACAUUAGUAGCUUCCUGUCUUCAGUAGUUAAAUGAUGAUCAGGUCACUCUGAGGAAGAUGUCAGCUUGAUGUUGAAAUGUCAGUCAGCUGUUCACAUCCUGUACAAUGUAUUAAAGUGAGCAAUAACAAAUCAA